CUUGCUUUCUUUGCUGGCGACCGGCGCACGGGUGAGUAACACGUAUCCAACCUGCCCUUUACUCGGGGAUAGCCUUUCGAAGGAAAGAUUAAUACCCGAUAGCAUAAUGAUUCCGCAUGGUUUCAUUAUUAAAGGAUUCCGGUAAAGGAUGGGGAUGCGUUCCAUUAGGUUGUUGGUGGGGUAACGGCCCACCAAGCCUUCGAUGGAUAGGGGUUCUGAGAGGAAGGUCCCCCACAUUGGAACUGAGACACGGUCCAA
rnacentral:rRNA from 1 species